GAUGAAGAACGUAACGAAAUGCGAUAAGUAAUGUGAAUUGCAGAAUUCAGUGAAUCAUCGAAUCUUUGAACGCACAUUGCGCCCGCCAGUAUUCUGGCGGGCAUGCCUGUUCGAGCGUCAUUUCAACCAUCAAGCCCCAGGCUUGUGUUGGGGACCUGCGGCUGCCGCAGGCCCUGAAAACCAGUGGCGGGCUCGCUGUCACACCGGGCGUAGUAGAUUUUAUCUCGCUCAGGGCGUGCUGCGGGUUCCGGCCGUUAAAAAGCCUUUUUUACCCAAGGUUGACCUCGGAUCAGGUAGGAAUACCCGCUGAACUUAAGCAUAUCAAUAAGCGGAGGA
rnacentral:misc_RNA from 1 species